rnacentral:rRNA from 1 species
AGAGUUUGAUCAUGGCUCAGGAUGAACGCUGGCGGCGUGCCUAACACAUGCAAGUCGAACGUGAAGCCUGUACUUGUACAGGCUGAAAGUGGCGAACGGGUGAGUAACACGUUGGUGACCUGCCCCGAGGCGAGGGAUAACUCCUUGAAAGAGGAGCUAAUACCUCAGAUGUCUAAGUGGUUAGAGGACUUAGACUAAAGUUCAGGCGGCUCGGGAGGGGCCUGCGGGCUAUCAGCUAGUUGGUGGGGUAAGAGCCUACCAAGGCGAAGACGGCUAGGGGGCGUGAGAGCGUGACCCCCCACAAGGGAACUGAGAAACGGUCCCUACUCCUACGGGAGGCAGCAGUGAGGAAUAUUGAGCAAUGGGCGCAAGCCUGACUCAGCAACGCCGCGUGGAUGAAGAAGGCCUUCGGGUUGUAAAAUCCUUUUCUGCGGGAAGAUAAUGACGGUACCGCAGGAAUAAGUUCCGGCUAACUACGUGCCAGCAGCCGCGGUAAAACGUAGGGGACAAGCGUUAUCCGGAUUUACUGGGCGUAAAGCGCCCGUAGGCGGCUUUUCAAGUUGGAUGUGAAAGCUCCCGGCUUAACUGGGAGAGGUCAUUCAAAACUGGGGAGCUAGAGGAUGGAAGAGGAGAGCGGAAUUCCCGGUGUAGUGGUGGAAUGCGUAGAGAUCGGGAGGAACACCAGUGGCGAAAGCGGCUCUCUGGUUCACACCUGACGCUGAGGGGCGAAAGCGUGGGGAGCGAACGGGAUUAGAUACCCCCGUAGUCC